rnacentral:sRNA from 1 species
UUCGCGGGAAAUGUUAAAAUCGAGUGUUUACAGAAAAAUUUGAUUCGCGCGAAGACCGUGCUGUUGAUGGCUAUUCGAAACACAUUAGCACAAGAUGGACAAAACUCGUGACGGUCGGCAAACCCUGACGACAAAGUGUGCGGUUGAGAAUUACCAAAAUACGAAGAUUGGGUGCCAGAGUGACGGUUUUACAGUGCAGCAAUUCGUUAAACAAUGGCCCUGCACUGGCCCUCAGAGAUUCUGCCGUUUGGGUUGGGCACCUGGAACCACCGGGCCAGGAGGAACGACAGCCUGAAAAAGUCUGAACAUGUCUGAACAAGUCUGAACAUGAGAGUUCUCCUGUCUUCGGUUGGCGGAAACCCAAGAGGAACGGAAACAGGUAACCAAGAAACCUGAAAAUGAAAACUUAACAAUACAAAUAAUUGUAAUAAAGCCCAAUAAGAGCUGGCAUAGAUAAUAAAUAAUAUGCCGUUGCCGUGCGUGCUGUAAA